GGAAGUAAAAGUCGGUAACAAGGUUUCCGUAGGUGAACCUGCGGAAGGAUCAUUCAUAAUAAAGUGUUUUAUGGCACUUUUUAAAAAUCCAUAUCCACCUUGUGUGCAAUGUUAGAUCUCGUCAAUCUUGGCGAGAUUUUUAUACAUCAACUCAUUCUUUAACUAAUUUGUCUGAAAAAUAUUAUGAAUACUUAAUUCAAAAUACAACUUUCAACAACGGAUCUCUUGGCUCUC
rnacentral:misc_RNA from 1 species